AGGCACGUAGCUCAGUUGGUUAGAGCACCACCUUGACAUGGUGGGGGUCGUUGGUUCGAAUCCAAACGUGCCUACCA
rnacentral:tRNA from 1 species